rnacentral:rRNA from 1 species
CUUCGGGGUAGUGGCGCCGGGUGCGUAACGCGUGGGAAUCUGCCUUAGUACGGAAUAACUCAGGAAACUUGUGCUAUACGGAUGAUGUCGAGAGACAAAGAUUAUCGCCUAGGGAUGAGCCCGCGUAGGAUUAGCUAGUUGGUGGGGUAAAGGCCUACCAAGGCUACGAUCCUUAGCUGGUCUGAGAGGAUGAUCAGCCACACUGGGACUGAGACACGGCCCAGACUCGUACGGGAGGCAGCAGUGGGGAAUCUUAGACAAUGGGCGCAAGCCUGAUCUAGCCAUGCCGCGUGAUCGAUGAAGGCCUUAGGGUUGUAAAGAUCUUUCACUGGGGAAGAUAAUGACGGUACCCACAGAAGACGCCCCGGCUAACUCCGUGCCAG